GGUCAGGGCGCGGGGCCACGUGACAGCACCCCAGCCAAUGGGUCCCCGCGGCGCCCCUGACAGAUGCGCCCGCCGGAGCCUGGCCUCCUUCUCCAGCUCAUAUAAGGUAAAAAGAAAAAGGUUUUCCAGCUUCUGAGCCGCAUGGAAGGAGUUUUCGCCCAGCACUCCCAUGCCAGCUGCUUAAAAAACCCCAGCAGGCAGCGUGGGGCCGCAGUGGCGGUUAUAAUGGGACAGGAGGAGGUGGCGGUUGCGUGCCCACACCCCGUGGUGAUGUGGGAAAGGGCAGCAGGAGCGGCCACUGCAGAGAGGGGAAAGGGCGCAGUGUUGUAACCGCGGGGAGGGCUCUGACGCAGCCCAGCAUUGCCGGCUCGCCCAGCCGGGGACGCGGCUCCGCGGAGCAGAGGCGGAGCCUUGGCCAUGGGAGUACCCAGGGACACAGCCAUCACUGGAGAUGCUGGAGGUGAACAGAGACUGUACAUCCCCGGACAGCGAGAGAAGGGCAGAGCUGGUGUGCCAGCAUACUGCCUGCACUGGUUGCCCUUUGGGCGCUGGCAGCAGCACGCACAAACCCAGCAGCCCCCUGAACAGGGCUGGCUCCCUGGGCAGUGCUGAGCCUGGGGUAGCUUCCUGCUGAAAGCAGUCUGGUCCCUUCCCAAGGAGCUGCUCACAAGGAAUGCAUGGGGCUGGGAGGCUGAGCUCUGCCAUGGGGCAGCGGGCCGUCAGGAGGGGCCUGUGAGCAGUGCUGCCCCAUGGCACUGAGCCCUGUGGCUGUUCCCACACUUGGCCAGUGCUCAGGGCUGGCCUGGCCUGAGCUGGGAGCAGGGACAGCCAGCACUGGCAGAGGCGGCUCCCAGACAUCCCUCCCGGGUGACUCACGCCGUGAUCUGUGCAUGGAGUUUGGGGCACUGUGAGCCUCUUCCCUUUCUUUUCUCCCAAUAAAUCGGGGCUGCGGAGCUGGGGGGUGGCGGCUGGGGGAGCGUGGAGCGAGCAGAGGCUGUGGGUGCCCAUUUCCCAGCUGGGUGCGCUCAGGGGGGGCCAUGCCGGAUGCAGGGAGUCGUGCUGGAGCUGCACCAUCUGCUUCUUGUCAGGCUGCUGGGAGCACCGCGGCUCCAGGGCCGGCAGUGGGACAUGGCUGUGAUGGAUGGUGUGUUUAUCAUGCUCUAGCGCUACUCAGGAUGUUAGUGCUCGCCUGCAAGAGAUGUUUCUGUGCUCGGCUGCUCCCUCCAUCCUCUCCUCCUCCUUCUCUCCCCAGACCCUCUCCCUUGAGCCCACACGGGGGGGUGGGGGUGUCCGUCCCACAGCCUCCAGCCCUGCCUGUGGCUGAGCUCCCAGGACCAGCACUGAAGCCUUCCCACAGAGGAGCUGCAGGCUCCUCUGGUGAGGACAGGAAUGGAGACAGGGACAGGGCUCCGCAGGGCUUGCACAUGCUCCUCAUCCCCCGGGGGACAUAAAGGAACAGAGUGCAGGGAGAAUGUACUGUGUGAGACCUGCAUCCCACAUCACCUCGGGGGCAUCCUGGCCCCAUACUGUACAGCCACCCCAGCAGCCACAUCCAUGUAGUUUGAGACUACAGGCAGUGACUCCCCAGUGCUGGGCCAGGUUCCGGGUCCUACGGCCCCACAGACGCACAGUUGGGAUGCGGCAGUGGGCGGUGUGCAGCCCUUCUCCAAGCACAGAGGUUUAUCUGUGCGAUGCCGCAGCCAGCCCAGCCCCAUCCCCCCCACCAGCCCCCAGCCUCAUCUAUCCUGCAGCCGCGAUGCCUGGCAGAACAGCCACACACAGCCAUGCGUGGCACAGCACACAUCGAGAGCAGCUGGGGGCUCCUCCAUGUCUCCCAGCCCAAGGUGCAGUGCUGCAUCUCUGGUCAAUUGGGAGUCUGAGAUGAAGCACUGUAGCUCGGGAAGGGAGGAACUGUGCCCUGGGACCCCACCACCCCCCGGACUGCCGCCUGCUGGGAGCACUGAUGCCAGCGGAACAUGGGAACUGCGCAGUGAGACGGGAGCACAGCUUGUGACUGGAUGUGGGGGUCUGCCCUGCAGCCCCCCCCCCCCCUCUGUCUCUGGGGCUGGGUCCCCAACUGUGGGAGAAGGGGCUCUCCCAGCCGUGUUUUUGGACACUGCCUCUGAUGGAGAAGCACAGAGAACGGAGCCUGCAGACACGCAGCGUGUCCCCCUGAAGAUCCCAUAGGGGCUGCUGACCCCCAGCCAUGGGGCAGGGCUCACCCCUCUGCUCUGUAUCCUGCGAGGGAAGGGCAGAGGAGGAGAGGUUUGCUUUGAGGGCACGAAUGCUGCGUGGGGACAGCUGGGUCACACACAGAGCGGCCAGAGGAGCAGCUGUGCAGGGCGGGGGCC
ensembl:lncRNA